GGCCGAUCUCAAAUGCCAAGGCAGAAUCCUAGAUAAAAAUAGUAAUGGCAUGCUGCUAAGAAUUCACAGGUCACUGGAGCUAGGAGGGACAGCUGAUUAGUGAAUGCCUGACUUGGAAUUUGCCCCAGACAGGUCAAGCAAGUGCCAGGCAGAUUGGUUGCCCCUUUGAGAGGCUUUGAAGCGCCUGCUGCGCCCACAGCCCCUUCUGAAAGAUUUCUCAGGCUAAACCCCACUUUCCUGCCUGAGCAUAGUUAACUGGACCCAGGUCAGCACAACAGUGGCCUUCAAGGUAUUCCAGAUCCACCAGUAGGGAGCAUGUGACCGUGGACCAUGGGGGACUGGCCAGCCAGUGGAUCAUCAGCCUUGGGGAAUUUGGAUUCAAGAUCUACAAAGGGGGGCUGGGGUUGUGGCUAGAGGAAGAGUGCUCGCCUAACAUGCAGGAGGCACUGGGUUCGAUCCUCAGCACCAUAUAAAUAUAAAAUAUAUUGUGUCCACCUAUAACUAAAAAAUAAAUAUUUAAUAAUAAUUAAAAAAAGAUCUACAAAGGGAGGGGCCUGAAGGUUGACAACUGCAGGCAGAUGACACAGAGCAGGCUGUAGGCAGAAGCCCAGAAGCUGAGAAACCCUGAGGAAACUGUCCUUGUGGACCUGGGAGGAAGCUGAGCUCUGGUCUGUUGAUCUGUGGGAGCCAUCACUUCCUCCCACACAUUUCAGUGACAAGGUAAUUUUGGUGACAUUGAUGAGUGACAUUUUAGAGAUGAGGCCAGGUGCCCUGCAGCUGGGAGCCCAUGUGCGUCUUGUGCGGUGUGGUCUAGAAGAGCCCUGCAGUUUCCUCCUGACCAAUUGGAAUGAACCAGUUGGAAUGAAGGCCCAAGGCCGACUCCAUGAGGUCCACUACUGGGGCUGCCAGGAGUGAGCUCUGCCAAUAACAGACCGUCUCUCUUAGGUCUUUCCACAUAUGCCAAAACAGUUAAAGACAGGAAAUUUAAAAAUUUGAUAAAGAUAGCCCCGGAGGGAGUGGUGUUCUUUCACAGUCAGUGUCCGGCAGGUGCGUACUCAGCACAUGUACACAGUGGCCCUGCUUUGGGGCUUCGAUCGCUUGUCAGCACCAGGGUUGCGAUUGGC
rnacentral:lncRNA from 1 species